rnacentral:rRNA from 1 species
UACGAAGGGGGCUAGCGUUGCUCGGAAUCACUGGGCGUAAAGGGUGCGUAGGUGGGUCUUUAAGUCAGGGGUGAAAUCCUGGAGCUCAACUCCAGAACUGCCUUUGAUACUGAGGAUCUUGAGUUCGGGAGAGGUGAGUGGAACUGCGAGUGUAGAGGUGAAAUUCGUAGAUAUUCGCAAGAACACCAGUGGCGAAGGCGGCUCACUGGCCCGAUAACUGACGCUG